rnacentral:rRNA from 1 species
GAGUUUGAACCUGGCUCAGGAUGAACGCUGGCGGCGUGCUUAAUACAUGCAAGUCGAACGAAGCACCUCUCCCGUUGAUUGACCUAGCUUGCUAGAGAUUGAAACAAUUGAGGUGACUGAGUGGUGGACGGGUGAGUAACGCGUGGGUAACCUGCCUUGUACAGGGGGAUAACAGUUGGAAACGACUGCUAAUACCGCAUAAGCGCACAGUAUCGCAUGAUACAGUGUGAAAAACUCCGGUGGUACAAGAUGGACCCGCGUCUGAUUAGCUAGUUGGAGGGGUAACGGCCCACCAAGGCAACGAUCAGUAGCCGACUUGAGAGAGUGAUCGGCCACAUUGGGACUGAGACACGGCCCAAACUCCUACGGGAGGCAGCAGUAGGGAAUAUUGCACAAUGGGGGAAACCCUGAUGCAGCGACGCCGCGUGAAGGAUGAAGUAUUUCGGUAUGUAAACUUCUAUCAGCAAGGAAGAAAAUGACGGUACUUGACUAAGAAGCCCCGGCUAAAUACGUGCCAGCAGCCGCGGUAAUACGUAUGGGGCAAGCGUUAUCCGGAUUUACUGGGUGUAAAGGGAGCGUAGGCGGUACGGCAAGUCAGAAGUGAAAGCCUGGGGCUCAACCCCGGAAUUGCUUUUGAAACUGUCGAACUAGAGUGUCGGAGGGGUAAGCGGAAUUCCUAGUGUAGCGGUGAAAUGCGUAGAUAUUAGGAGGAACACCGGUGGCGAAGGCGGCUUA